GCCCUGGACUCCCUGAUGUCUCCUGUGGGGCUCAGCCAGCAUUAAAGACAUGAGCGGAGACCCAGGGUUGACCAGUUUUGAGCCCGUCCUCAUUCUCAUUGGGGAGCUGUUAUUAAUAAAAUCCAUACACAAUCAAGAGUACAGCACCAGUGUUUUUCAUGAAAUUCAGCUCCCCACACUCCCUAAGGAGGAGCUGACCAGGGAGAGGCAGAUGUCCUAGCUCCUUGAAAGCCUUCCCCGGGGAGUCAGCUGUAUGAGAUGGGAACAGAGGCGUGGAGGGACGCGGUCCCACCCCACCAGCCUUUGAUCUGCAACGUUUGAUUUGCGACGUGGCUCCACCACACUGGGCUUUGAUCUGCCCUGGAAGAGACGUUCAAACCACAGCCAGAGGGUCAUGUGAUGGUGUCAGUUAUUGCCGAUGAAUGAGCAUGCACCAGGGCCGCAAACCAUCUGGACAUGGUGUAACCUGAACCCAGCGCGCCCUGAACCAUCCAGACAUGGUGUGACCUGAACCCAGCACCAUGAACCAUCCGGACGUGGUGUGACCUGAACCCAGCACAUGAACCAUCCGGACAUGGUGUGACCUGAACCCAGCACGUGAACCAUCCGGACAUGGUGUGACCUGAACCCAGCCCCCUGAACCAUCAGGACAUGGUGUGACCUGAACCCAGCGCCCUGAACCAUCUGGACGUGGUGUGACCUGAAUCCAGCCCCCUGAACCAUACGGACAUGGUGUGACCUGAGCCCAGCACGUGAACCAUCUGGACAUGGUGUGACCUGAACCCAGCACGUGAAGCAUCCAGACGUGGUGUGACCUGAACCCAGCACGUGAACCAUCCAGACGUGGUGUGACCUGAACCCAGCGCCCUGAACCAUCCGGACGUGGUGUGAUCUGAACCCAGCGCCCUGAACCAUCCGGACGUGGUGCGACCUGAACCCAGCACGUGAACCAUCCAGACGUGGUGUGAUCUGAACCCAGCGCCCUGGAUCUGUCCCUCU
rnacentral:lncRNA from 1 species